ACGAAUUGUAGAGGUCGCGAUAAUAAUCAGUACCAAUAAUGAGUUAAGCAACGAAGAGUUAUUGGGAAAGGUAUUAUUGCCGAAGGAUAUAGCUGAUGCUUUAAGGCUAUGUACCUGGGGAUGUAUAUAAUAUAUGCAUAACUGUCACAAUAUUAAAUUGUGUUGAGCUACAUUUAAG
rfam:Clostridium sp. JC272 contig254, whole genome shotgun sequence.